CGGGAAAGGACGCUGCGGGCACUGUGUUAACUUACUGGUCUCUGAAGGUCCUACAGGAUGUCAAAGGUAGACACAUCCUUGAUACCGGCUGACAGGGACGGCGGCGGUCACGCGUCCUACGGCGGAGGCUACGGGCACGGGGGAUCCUACGGCCUGGACACGGUAUCCUUCCUGGCGAUCCUGACCUUCCUCUCCGCGCUGACCUACCUCCUGUAUUGGUGUGUCACGAACCCUGACCUCUGCUUCCCAAACCGAGCCCCCGCACCUUCCACCACCACCCCAGGCCCCUCCCCUGGCCCCCUUCUUGACCCCGGGUACGAAGGGUCACACAUCAGCCCCUGGGAUCACGAGGCCACGACUCUGCACCCCCUGAGUUACCUGGAGGCUGUCCCUGUGGCCCCCUGGAGUAAUUUUUCGUCCCUGGAUAAUUUGUUUCCUCCUCUGCCAGACUACUUGUAGAUGGUUGUGUGGUAGCGAUGAAUGGUAUGGUAGCCUGGUAGUAGUGGUAGAUAGUAACAGUAGGUAUGGUAGUAGGUGGUAGCCCCAUGGUAGUACAGUUGUAAUGGAUAGUAAAAGAUAAAUGGUAGCAAAUAAUGAACGUAGUAUAAAAUAGGUGUUUGAAAUAGUAUGGUUGUUAGGAUUUAAAAGACAGAAGAUGGUAGUAACAGUAGUAUGGUAGUAAGAGCAAAUAGUAGUUAUAGAUCCAAUAGACGAUAGAUGGUAGAAAUAGUAUGAUAGUUAUGGACUUAAUAGACCGAUGAUAGUAGUAAUUGUGGAAUGGUAGAAAAAACAAAGCAGUAGUAAUAGAUGCAAUAGACGAUAGAUGGUAGAAAUAGCAUAGUAGUUAUGGACUUAAUAGAUGAUAAUAGUUUUUUGUGGAAUGGUAGUAGUAGUAGUGAGGUAGUAAUAAUGAAUGUAGAAGAUAGGUUUUAAUAAUAGUAUAAUAGUUAAUGAUGUAGAUGGUAGAUGACAGUUAUGGUAUGGUGAUUAGUUAGCGUGCCAGGUCCAGGUUCGAAUCCCAGCCCGGACAGUCGGCGUGCAGCUCACCUACCUGUUCAUCCUCCCAUCCUGGUCGAUAAUUGGGUACCUGGGGACACCUGGGGAAGGGAAACUGUGAUAACCCGGAUGUCACGCUGUUCCUGUGUCCCUGGGUAAUGUGUUCUCCAGUGCCCCGGGGUAAUGUGUUCUGUGUCCCGGGGUUAUGUGUUCUCCUGUGUCCCGGGGUUAUGUGUUCUCCAGUGCCCCGGGGUAAUGUGUUCUGUGUUCCGGGGUUAUGUGUUCUCCUGUGCCCCGGGGUUAUGUGUUCUCCUGUGUCCCGGGGUAACGUGUUCUCCCUCACCAUAGACUCACGGGGCAAUGCAACGGAGAUGAGCACCGAGGCCACGGGCAGGUAUAACGUUUUCAUCACUGGGUACUUUUGUCUUCACUGUACAUGAGCCGUUCUGAAUGUCCCACACGCCUCGUUUUCUUUCUCAUUUUCACGUGGACCAAAGAAUUUUAUACCAUGCAAAGAUUUCUGUUGUGAUUUUAAAGUUUCUAGUUUUAUUAAGUUACUCCGGUCGAUCGUCCAGUCUGUUUGUCGACGUGCAGUCUCACUCAAGGUUGGAAGUAAAGUCUAGUUACGUGUUGUUGGUUUAUUUAUGUCCCUUUUUGUAUGUUUUUCU